ensembl:lincRNA
AAAAAAGAGUACGUGAUGCAUGAAUCUCCAUCUUCCUCUCACCUCUCCUACCCAUUCCCAGACACCACCUCCCCCAACCUGGUUCGGCAGCACAUCUCAUUUUUCUACAGAUGGAACAGCCGCUACCCUCCAGAAUCCAUAAUCCUGACUCAAACUCAAACCCAAACAUUGUGCUCGAUGUUCAGAAAGGACCAAGAAUUGAGAUAUACAGAUGCCAAUCCAGAUGCCACAAAUGUUCGACAUAAGGAAAUAAGAGGAGACCAUCCAGGACUUUUAUUUGAUGAUUGUCUUCCUGAGUUGUGAGAAGAAAUCUUGUUAUCUUGUAUGAAAACUAAAGAAUACAUAAACUGUCAGGUAAUUUCGUUAAGUUUAUCAAAAUAUUUCAAGUAGAGCUUUGGGGAGACAUAGGGGAAAUUUAGUGAAAAUUCAAAGUUCUUUCACCCAUGGCUGUGUAUGCAGAAUGCCCAUCAGACUCCUCUGCCCAUGAGAUUCUCCAGGCAAGAAUACUGGAGUGGGUAGCCAUUCCCUUCUCCAGGAGAUUUUCUCAACCCAGGAAUUGAACCCAGGUCUCCUGCAUUGCAGGCAAAUUCUUUAUCUUUUGAAUCACCUGGGAAGCCCUAAUUAAGGAUACUGGGUACUAACUAAGGAUUAGUCUUGUUAGUUCAGUAUGAUUCUGUAUAAAUACAACAAAUUCACAGGGAGAUGGAAACUUCAUUUUUGACGGAACCGUCUUGAAAAAUCCUGAUCAAAACCAAAUAUCAUUUCUGUGUUAACGAAUGCUUACAAUUUCCAAGUUGAGAUGACUUCUUUGGAUUACAGUUUCCAUAGGCAUUACUUACAUUUGCCUUGAUCUAAAUUUGGAAGUGGCUAAUUGUAACUGGACUGACUAUGUCCAUUUUGAAUACUUUCAUCUACAAAUCUCUGUGAUGAGCCAGGUACCUCUCCUAAAUAAUUCCCUAUGCAGAGGGAUGUAUUAGAAACAGCUUGUCAAAUUGACUAAGAGAGAAACUCAGUGUUGCCUGGUCCAUCUCCCUACACAGACACAUCUUGACACAGUGUAUUUGAGUGCUAAUAAUGACAUUAGAAGAUGUUGGAAAGAGAUCUAAUUCAGCAUGCAGAAGUGACUUUGCUGUCAUCUCCUAUUUUCUGCGCAAUUGACAGCAGAUACUUGGGGCUGAAUUUUUAUUUCAGGUCAAAUUUCCAAGGCAUGAGGCUGUCUGUUAGAAAUAGAUAAGACCAAAACCAAUACGAAAGCACUUGUUGAAAGUGUCAGUGGUGCUGAGAAUUUGAAAGGGAUGCUUCAGUUUUCUGUUUAGGACAUGACACAACAACAUAUGUUUUAGCAGCAAGAAAAACCAACCAGCAGCUCCCUGUCAUUUUUCCAUGGUUCCUACUGGGAAGAUUUCAGAAGAGAAGUCUGAUUUCUUUGGGGGAUGUGAUGAUUUUUUUUUUUUUUAAAGCAUAGUCUCUUUGGUCAUUUUAUUUCCCCCUAGCCAAUAUUUCCCAGAAUAUUUUAUACAAAUUCAACUAACACCAGUAAUUUAUUUUAUUUUUUGAGAACAGGGUCCAAUAUGCCAUACUUUAAGAAUUAUAAAAUCAAACAACAGCUAGUGCUGCACCACUAUGAAGAUGGGCACUAAUAAGAAAAAUGUUGGACAUCAAUAAGGUUGAAGGUUUAUAAAAUCAUUCAGAUGUGUCGGCUCACUGAAUUGAAUAGGAAGGCCCAGGAGUGUUUUAAAAGUUGCUUUGUCCAUGUUUUAGAUUAGACUGUUAACUAUUUCACAUUCCCCUGGCUGGCAGACAAGCUCUGGCUUCCUUCUGGUUGUGCAUGCUAAGUUAAUAUUCACCUAGUCAAGUUAUAGUUAACAAUAUCAUUUUAUUGUUAAGAGACCUGGAUGAUCUUUUGUCAUUCUAAGUUUAAUUUGAACCACUUAUCCAAAAGUGGGAAGUUCGUUUAUGGAACAGAAGCUUCAACAACAAAGUUAAAAUCUGAACACAUUCACAAGCCUAAAUUGACAAAAUUCUCUCUUUCCUGAAUGGAGUGCCUUGUACCCAAAGGCACUGUGUAUUUCUUCCACACACCCUGAACUUGAAGGCAAGUGUAUGUUCCUCUUUCCCAUUUUUGUGCCUGCUUUAUUUUUAUUAGUAUUACUAUUUAAACAUUUCCUGUGGCAUUGAAUUCAAAUUUGUCAUUUUAUUUUUCUCCUCCAGAAAGAGUGAUUUAAAACCCAACCAGGCACAUAAAGGUAAUUUGAUGUGGUACCCUCAACCAUUUGUCAUCAUCGAUGGUUUGUUCUUUGAAAUAGAAGCCUUGGGGAACCCUUAAAUUCCAAACCUCAUGGGAGACCUGCUUUGCAGUUUGUAACACAAGUGAACCCUCCUGGACUCAUUAAUCUCAGGAGACUCUUGUCUCAUAUUGUUCCCAUUUUCCAGCAGCUUUGCCUCAGGCGCAAGCACUUUCCUCCUUUUUGCCUUUCUUCUAUGUAGCUGAAUUUCUCUGCAGUACCCUCCAUAAACAAUGGCUUUUACUACACUAUUGCCACAAGCUCUUUCUGUGCACAGAUCUCUUUCAAGAGUCUGUGACAUUGUCAUUGUUUUGGUCUGUAUUUAACAGCUUGCAUAAAACCAUAAAGCUAUGGGCCUUUUUACUUUUAAAUAGCUGUCAUUUUCCUACAACAACAACAUUUCCAAAUGUUGCCUUUUAAAAAUUAUCUCUUUUGGAAGCUAUGUACUGAGAACUCUGCCAUUGCUUAAACUGUUUCAGAAACGUCUCUAUUUGAAUUUCAUCUGGAGUCAGUGUGCAAUUUCUAUGGAAAUAUUUCAUUGGUAUUUAAAUUGUCAGCUCAUAAUUUAUAGUCUUCUACAAUCUAGCUUUGCCAAUAAUGUUAUUAACCUUUUCUAUUAAUUAUCUGAUUAUAAGAAUUGACUGCAAGUGACCAUUUCUGACAAUGAAUCUGUCAUCAAAGGAAGAAGAACUAUUCUUUCGUGGAGAGUUAAAAGAAUGAAUCCUGUUCCCAAACACAGUUCUGAAAAAAGAAAUUCAAAAUUAUCUUAAUCUAUGGGGUCAUCACCAGGAUAAGUGACUUGGCUCUCACAGUCCUCUGUAAGUCUAAUUAUGUAAAUUAAUUAGAUAAGCUUUGUAUAUU